rnacentral:lncRNA from 1 species
ACGUUAGCGUGCCCCUUCCCUCUGAGUUUUCCGACGCAAUCAGCUCCUCCAUCUUUCUUUUCCGACGCGUUUUGGGGUUUUCUUCUCCGAUGAAUCCGGCCUCCAUCUUCGCUCUUCGAUUUGAUUCAAAUCCCCUCGUCUCCCUUUUUAAACCCAUCUAAUCUCAUGUACUAACCCUAGAUGGCUCCGCCUCCAUCGUUGAAGGAAUCCUAAUCAGACUCUCUGCGUUGCAAGACUGAUCGGCAGCGGCGGUUCUCGGAGUCCGGUAUUGUAGACCAGUCUCCCAGUUCCAGGAAGGCCUUCGAUCUAGAUCCCAACCCGCUCUCCGAUGAGGUCUUCUUCAAUUCAAGGCUCCGACCAUCCUUUACGUUUGUGCUCAGAGAUUCUAACCUAGCGCCGGCGACGUGACCGUCGUUCGUUUGUAAUCCCAAGAUGUUUCAGACAAUUAAAAGAAGUCAAUUGAUUUCGUACGCAGGUUAGAGAGAUCUCAUUAAGUUACAUUAAGUUACACAGGCUCGCCGGAUUCUGGAGUUGAUCGCCGGAAGCUGCGUUAUGCUCAACUUUUAGAUUCUGA